AACGAACGCUGGCGGCAUGCCUAAUACAUGCAAGUCGAACGAAGGCUUCGGCCUUAGUGGCGCACGGGUGCGUAACGCGUGGGAAUCUACCCUUGGGUUCGGAAUAACAGUUAGAAAUGACUGCUAAUACCGGAUGAUGACGUAAGUCCAAAGAUUUAUCGCCCAAGGAUGAGCCCGCGUAAGAUUAGCUAGUUGGUGAGGUAAAGGCUCACCAAGGCUACGAUCUUUAACUGGUCUGAGAGGAUGAUCAGCCACACUGGGACUGAGACACGGCCCAGACUCCUACGGGAGGCAGCAGUAGGGAAUAUUGGACAAUGGGCGAAAGCCUGAUCCAGCAAUGCCGCGUGAGUGAUGAAGGCCUUAGGGUUGUAAAGCUCUUUUACCCGAGAUGAUAAUGACAGUAUCGGGAGAAUAAGCUCCGGCUAACUCCGUGCCAGCAGCCGCGGUAAAGUCUGUACU
rnacentral:rRNA from 1 species